GUAGGGCGCAAGCGUUGUCCGGAAUUAUUGGGCGUAAAGAGCUCGUAGGCGGCUUGUCACGUCGGAUGUGAAAGCCCGGGGCUUAACCCCGGGUCUGCAUUCGAUACGGGCUAGCUAGAGUGUGGUAGGGGAGAUCGGAAUUCCUGGUGUAGCGGUGAAAUGCGCAGAUAUCAGGAGGAACACCGGUGGCGAAGGCGGAUCUCUGGGCCAUUACUGACGCUGAGGAGCGAAAGCGUGGGGAGCGAACAGGAUUAGAUACCCUGGUAGUCCACGCCGUAAACGUUGGGAACUAGGUGUUGGCGACAUUCCACGUCGUCGGUGCCGCAGCUAACGCAUUAAGUUCCCCGCCUGGGGAGUACGGCCGCAAGGCUAAA
rnacentral:rRNA from 1 species